UACGUAGGGUGCGAGCGUUAAUCGGAAUUACUGGGCGUAAAGCGUGCGCAGGCGGUUCGCUAAGACCGAUGUGAAAUCCCCGGGCUUAACCUGGGAACUGCAUUGGUGACUGGCGAGCUAGAGUGUGGCAGAGGGGGGUAGAAUUCCACGUGUAGCAGUGAAAUGCGUAGAGAUGUGGAGGAACACCGAUGGCGAAGGCAGCCCCCUGGGCUAACACUGACGCUCAUGCACGAAAGCGUGGGGAGCAAACAGG
rnacentral:rRNA from 1 species